rnacentral:rRNA from 1 species
GAUGAACGCUGGCGGCGUGCCUAAUACAUGCAAGUCGAGCGAACAGACGAGGAGCUUGCUCCUCUGACGUUAGCGGCGGACGGGUGAGUAACACGUGGAUAACCUACCUAUAAGACUGGGAUAACUUCGGGAAACCGGAGCUAAUACCGGAUAAUAUAUUGAACCGCAUGGUUCAGUAGUGAAAGACGGUUUUGCUGUCACUUAUAGAUGGAUCCGCGCCGCAUUAGCUAGUUGGUAAGGUAACGGCUUACCAAGGCAACGAUGCGUAGCCGACCUGAGAGGGUGAUCGGCCACACUGGAACUGAGACACGGUCCAGACUCCUACGGGAGGCAGCAGUAGGGAAUCUUCCGCAAUGGGCGAAAGCCUGACGGAGCAACGCCGCGUGAGUGAUGAAGGUCUUCGGAUCGUAAAACUCUGUUAUUAGGGAAGAACAAAUGUGUAAGUAACUAUGCACGUCUUGACGGUACCUAAGCAGAAAGCCACGGCUAACUACGU